rnacentral:rRNA from 1 species
AUUGAACGCUGGCGGCAGGCCUAACACAUGCAAGUCGAGCGAGCGGCAGACGGGUGAGUAAUGUCUGGGAAACUGCCUGAUGGAGGGGGAUAACUACUGGAAACGGUAGCUAAUACCGCAUACCAUCAGAUGUGCCCAGAUGGGAUUAGCUAGUAGGUGGGGUAACGGCUCACCUAGGCGACGAUCCCUAGCUGGUCUGAGAGGAUGACCAGCCACAAUGGAACGUAGCCAGGGUCAGGACUCCUACGGGAGGCAGCAGUGGGGAAUAUUGCACAGUGAGGGCAAGCCUGAUGCAGCCAUGCCGCGUGUGGGAAAAAGGCCUUGGGGAUAUAAAGCACAUUCAGCGGGAAGGCGUUACCAGCAGAAAAAGCACAGGCUAACUCCGUGCCAGCAGCCGCGGUAAUAC